ensembl:lncRNA
CUAUAUUUUUUCAACGUUGUUGGAUAUAAACGAUUAAAAACACCAGCAAAUCAGCUCCAGGUGAUUUUAAUUUUGGAAAUCUGUUCCAAAGUAUUCCAACGCAUAAUAGUGAAAUAGAUACAUGUGAUUGUAUACAAAUGUAAACAAGGUUUGAAAUGAUUGUUUUAGUCAAAUAUUUUAUCUGUUUGGGCAUCUUGCAUUCAAUAUGCGGUCUACAAAUGAUUUGUAAUUAUGUACCAGUCCGCUGACCAUCCGCUCAAGAAAAUGUCAGCCUGCGGCUAAAUCUAGUUGAUGAUCCCUGGUGUAGGGGUUUGUGCUGGACAGUGCAUGAUAUAUUAGCCUAAGGCAUGACAAACAGGUCAUUAGAGAACUGUUACAGUGGUUAUAUCAACAUUUUGGUAACCACUGCCAUAGAAAUAUCAUUCAUAGAAUGUAAUUCUAUUUCCAUGUGGGGAGUCAUAGAUAAAUAUUGGAGUCUCCAGUUGUGCUUCCUCAUAAGAAGGGAUUAAACUAGAGCUCUGGUCUUUUAUAUUACAGAGGUAAACAGAGUUUAUAAAAAGGAAUCUAACAGAUAAAUGGAAAUCAAUAUGAUCAAUGAUGAUGAUGUAUAUUUUUUUUUAUAUAGCACCUGAAGAUAUUUUGUGGUAACACCAGUACCAUUGUGGGUUUAAUGUACAAAGUAUAAUAAAGCGUUCUAUAUAUCUUUCCAGUACCACACAUAUACCAAUGAGAUGAUUAAACACAAUUGGAAAGGGUCUGGGAACAUUGAAACUCCACUCUUUGUUGUUGACCAAGCUGCAUGAUGAUUUAACAAACAUAAAGAAAUAUGGGAACUAUCCAGCUUUUAGCCAAGGUUUACAUUGGUCAGCACAUUAAUGGUCAUCCUUGUUCAAUGCGAUUGAGUUUUCAUUUGGCGGCCAUCAUCAUCUAUAUCAUUCAAUAUCAUCGUCAUCGUUGUGUUUGUCAUCUACAGACUACACUUAUUAACACACAAAGCAUUUAAUCCACAUAAUAUCUCAACUAAAAAUGUGUUCAUCACAUAUGGUACAAACAUUCAUCUUCAAUUUAGUCGUAUAGGUCUACAAAGUUACCAUUUUACAACGUUCAAGAUGUAUCUUCAAGAGAGGAAUAGAACAUAUUAUGUUCCAGUGUGGAUGUACCAUCAUCUGUAACACAGUCAGGUGGAAAAAGCAGCUCAGGUGUAAUUUUUUUAAUUUAACCGUUAUUUAACUAGGCAAACCAGCUAAGAACAAAUUAUUAUUUACAAUAACAGUCUACCACAGCCAAACCCUAACCCAGAUGACGUUGGGCCAAUGGGACUCCCAAUCGCAGCUAGCUGUGAUAUAGCUCAGAAUCGAACCAGGGUCUGUAGUGACACCUCUAGCACUGAGAUGCAGUGCCUUAGACCGCUGUAAUGACUAACACAGUAGCAAAGGUGGAUUGGUUAACACAGUAGCACAGGUGUAAUGGUUAACACAGUAGCACAGGUGUAAUGGUUAACACAGUACAGUAGCACAGGUAAAGUGAACUGAAAGGGACCCCAGUGUUAAUUUUGGCACUCUGUAACAGAUUUAGUCAUUUUGAGUUAAAUAUCGUUAAGUCUGAUUCACAUUUGAAUAAUGAUUUAGUGUAGUUAUUGUCAAAAUGACAAAAACAGUGGUCCAUUUUUGUCAACUAAAUCCAUUUUUGUCAACAGUCA